rnacentral:tRNA from 4 species
GGCUUCAUGGUCUAGUGGUAUGAUUCCUGCUUCGGGUGCAGGAGGCCCCGGGUUCGAAUCCCGGUGAAGCCC